rnacentral:rRNA from 1 species
AUGAUAGCCUGUAUCACUGAUGGCCUUCCAUUGGCGGAGUGCUUAGAUGGUGGUUAUGUGAAGGAUGUUGUCUUCUACAAGCAGCAAGAAAAAUUGUUGUUCAAAAACAUAUCUAAAGGCCAACAUGAAUCAUCAAGACUGUCAACUGAAACUGGACCAUACUGUUCCAGGUCAAGGUAUGUAUUUACAUUUUUUGCUUUCAGCAAGAUGAGGAUAAUGUGA